UCUUCGAUGGUCUAGUGGUCAUGAUUUCCGCUUGUCAUUACAGAGAACGAGCGCGGGAGACCGGGGUUCGAUUCCCCGUCGGAGAG
rnacentral:tRNA from 1 species